GAGUGGGGAGGGACUGCUUGAGUACAGGAGUUUUAAGGUCACAGUGAGCUGUCAUCACACCACUGCUUUCCAGCCUGGACAGAAGAACAACACAAGAAGAACAACGUCAUGCUUAAGGAAGCAUGACGUGGUAUCAAACAGUUGUGUAUGGAUAGACUGGCUACCACAUAUAUACUUAUGGGAUAAUGAGAGUAGCUUUCUUUUCUCCCAUUCUGUGUCCUUUCUCUGCUCUCCCAAGCAACUGGUACCACAAAGAUGAAGUAGCCCUAUAAUGCCCAGAUUUUGUUUCCACUACACGUAGUUUACUGCUACCAUGUCACUUUGUUAUGAGAGGAUUCAUCGAAAUACCUGUGCUUUGUCAUUUAAAAAGCAUGAGCAUACAUAUGAUAAUGCUUUACAUUUCUGGAUUUAAAGUGCCUUCACAAUACAGAACUAGGAAAAAGAAGGCCAUCUUUUUAAAUGAAGAUGGUUUUAAGAAAGCAAUAAGAGACUUACUUUGCUAUGAUAGAAAGUUUGGCUGAUGUCAUGAUGAUGUUAUGAUGUCGCUGACAUUGUUUCCUCAGUUAUACCUAUUAACCAUUUCUUGAGCAUCCACUGUGGGCCUAAUAGAUAAGAAACACUCCAUAUCCUUUAAGAGCCCCAAGGUGUGUGUGUGUGUGAAGAGCAUUAAGCUUUGGAGUCAUGCUACCUGGGUUUAAAUCCAAGUUGCGUGUAUACUGGCUUUGUGUGACCUUGGACAAACUAUUUCACUGUGUCAUGCCUCAGUUUCUCCAUCUGUAAAAUGGUAAUAAAGCUAUCUCACAGCAUUAUUAUGAAGAUUAAAUGUAUCAAUUGGUGCAAAGUGUUUAUAACAGUGCCUGGCCUCUCAAUAGCAUUCAAUAUGUAUUAGCUGUUGAUUUCAUCAUCAUUGUCUUCUCAUGGUUGCUUCAUCAUUCUGGUCUCAAAUGUCACAUCUAAUCACUUGUCAUUCUUACAUGUUUGCUGUUUAACAUUUUUAGGGGAGAGCUCUUACAAAACCCCCUGGUUUCCUUCCAACAAAUUCUUGAGUAUCUGAGCCAUUUUGAGGGAGAGAAUGUUUCUUGCCCUAAAUAAUCUGAGGAGAAACAAAGAGACCAGGUAGGAGAUGAGAUGGGAACCUAGCAGGUCUAUGGGAAGGAAGGAGGGUGCCCUACAGAUUUGGAAAAUGGGCCGAGUGAAGGAGGCAUCAGGCUUCCACAUGAAGGAAAGGGGAGGCUUUACCGAGAGACCAGAAGCCUACAGUUCUUUAUCAUCAUCUCUCAAUACAGAGUCCUGUGGGCUGGGUGCCACUGUUCUCACUCUUCCUAAAUGGAGGUUACAGCCUGUCAUUGAAGGUCACUGAUGCCUGGAAAGUCAAACAGUUUCCUUGUUAGCCUUGGGCCAGUCAGAUGUGAUUAGAGCUCAGUUGUUGGUAAACACCUAGAAAGAAGCAAGGCACAUAUCACUGAGCACUUCCUGGGAACUUAAUUUUUUGCUGCUGAGGGGGAGUCAGUCUUUAAACAAAUUGCAAUUGUGUUAGAGAAAAAAGCUUUAUAUGCAGAAGUAAUUGAUGCAAGAAAUAAGACAAUGACAAGGCCAUAUGGCCCGAGAGGUGCAGAGUGUAAGCACUCUGGCAUGAAAGAUAAAUAGGGAAAAAUUAAAAUGAUCAUAACACAAUAUUGUUAAUAGCAGCAUAAACUGAGCAUUGUGUUUGCACUAUGUGCUGCAUUGAGACAAUUAAAUGUUCUCAGCUCUGGACCCAAAUUCCUAAGUGUAUUGGGACUGUCACUUGCUUACUCUAUAAACUUGGGAAAGUCACUUCAUUUCCUGAUUUUUCCAUCAAAACAAAAAUAAUUCCCAUCUUACCAGGUGGUUGUGAGAAUUAAAAGACUUACAAAGCAAGCAACAAAGUGCCUCUACAUGGAAGUUUGUUGCUGUGGUUUUCCUGCUUUUAAUAGUCUUCCCAUAUACUGUAAAGUAAAUGCUGUAAUUAUGUUCAUGCUAGUGACCUGAGCUCAGAGUCACACAUCUUAGGAAUAUAGGCUAAAUUUGAACAUUCAGUAAAAGACCACACCAUACUGCCCUCCUAGGACAGAUCUCAGAAACGGGUUUCUUUUGGCAAAUAAACAGGCUCUCUUGCCUCCUUGAACAAAAAAUGUUGCCUUUGGCCAUGCUGUUCCUUCUGCCUAGAAUAUGUCCCAUACCCCAUUUAUUACCAUGCUUGCCUGCCGAGGGAGGCCUGCCGACCUUGCAAAGCUCACUAGGUGUGUCAAAGAUGAACAAAGCUGGACAUUAAUGACGGUGGUGAGAACAGACUUUAAUUGGUAGUAACUAUUGCAAUGGGGAAAGGAAUUUGGCAUGAACUGAACCCAGCUUUGAUUUGUACAGAGGUGAAUGAGUAUGUUAAAGGGAGGGUGAGGAAAUAGGGAGGGAGUGGAGAACGGGCUCAGUAGAGUCAGAAAACUGAAAAAUUACAAAACACAGGAAGGGAGGGGGCUGAUCUGUGUGCAGUCUAUCUGGGUUUGCUACUGGCACUUUGAGGCUCCUAUCCUCCCACAGAGGCUGGGAGACAAGGGCCUUAUCUUCAGUGUUGGCUGGAAGAAAUUCUGUGGACAGCUUUGAGUUUUUCAGGCUGGCACUUUAACAGUCAUUAGAAAGUGUUAGUGUUGUUCAAGUCUUAAUAGGCAAAAGUUGACAGGCCUAUUGAAGAAGGCUCAGAGGGGCCUGGCUAGAGUUUGGUCAAAGAAAGAGAAAUCUUUGUCAGGUGUCACCUUAGGCUUCCCCAACCCACUGAGGAAGAAUGGAGGUGAAGAAGAAAGAACAUAGCCUCAAGGGAUCAACAUACAGGGUGUGAGUUUCUGCCAAGAGUUGUGUGACCCUGAGAAGGUAACUUAAGUUAUCCAAACCUCAGGUUCCUUUUCUGUAAAGCAGGAAUAAUAGAACCUAACUCUGAGGAAACUGGGAUUAAAUGAACUGUUACAUAACCAGGUACCCUCAGAGCUCAAUAAAUGUAGCUAUUAUUAUUAUUUAGCCUCUUUGCUUCCACACCACCCUGGAAAACCCAAACAAGUCCUGAUCUCUACUUUUGUAAGUGUGUCACAUUCCCUGCACAAAGAUUCCAGAAGAUGAGAAAUACUUAAUCUAGAACUAGCAAGGCCAAAGGGGGAGGAGGGGGAAGACUCUCCUAGUAGGUGACAUUUGUGCAGAACAGGGAAGGAUGCAAGGGAGGAGAGGAGAGGGAGAGGCACUGCGGUGAUCUGGACUCAGUGUCACAGGCAGAGAGAAACCCUGGGAAGUGGGAAGGAGCUUAGAAUGAUCAGCACAGCUUGGCAGGAGAGCAGUAAGCAAAGGAAGAUGGAGUAGAGGACAGAUUUAUAGGCCUAAGGAUGUAUCUCCCUAGAAAUAGCAUCUAGAGGGAUGUUCCUUGCACAAUGUUGGGCACUGGGAACACACAUCACACAUUUAGCCAUCUCUGAUACUCUCAUCUAGAAUUAAGAUGGUUAAUAUUUCCCCUUUAAGCCUUCCUUGAGGAAAAUGGAGGUGAAGGGUAGCAAGGUAGCUUGCACAAGGCCACAGCCCUGAGAUAGGGCACAGCAUGAUCCAAUCAUGUCUCUGGAUUCUGUAGGCCAUGCUCUCCUGAGGAUCUGCACAUGCCACUGUACAUGAAUGGGGGAUACUAAGAAGUUAUAGUUCAUACUUCUCCACUACAUACCACCGAUUGCCAGAAAGAGGAACUUUCUCUUGUAAUACCUCAUGUAAGUCUAGGACUCUGGACUGAGAGUGACCCUAUCAGCAGGAAGAGAAGGCCUGAAGAAUCCCAGGAUGCCACGAUCCUCCAUGUCAGUGUGCCACAGCCAUGUGGCUGAGGGUCCAAGAAUAUGAGGGUAGUUAACACACCUGUGCUAGGACGGAGGUGAUGGCAUCAGUACUUCAGACUCAGCUGAACUCUCUCGCAGGCCCUACAAAGGUGUCUAGAUGGAUCCUAUCCUCCUUACUGGCCUUCCUAGCUUGGUCCCAAAGAGCCACCUGCUCCCCCAGGGUGGUGUGGUCAGACAGGUCAUGUGACAAAUGAAAGUCCACCAUAGCAGUGCCAAUAAUGCAACCCAUAAUAAUGCAGGCUGCAGGAAGCACUUCUGUCCUAGGGUCUCACUUGGGCAUAUGAAGCACAUCCUUCUAGGUAAUGUAGCUUUUCACAUUCUUUGAGGCAAUGGCUAAGUAGCACCCAGAAGACCACUAGGAAGGAGCAUCAAAAGACUCAUGAAGAGAGUGGUACUUCAUUUCUUAAAGGUGAGUACCCAGUUUUCCAUAUUUUACUGUCUGCAACAGAUCACAUAAAUAUUUAGAGAGAGAUUAUUUCAGAUACUAUGAAAUACUACAAAACCAAAUAUGUGGAGUAUGAUUUCAGGGAAAAUGACCAAAUAGAAAGUGCUACAAAUCUGCUACUAUACCUGAAAAACUAUUCUGGCAUCUCUCUGAAGUGACAAUUUUGGAACUCCAGAGUUUCUUUGAAUGCUUGUAAUUUCCAGCUUGCCUAAUAAAUUACAAUUUGUGUUGAUUGCAGCCAUCAGAGUGGUAUUGUCUACACAUUCCUCACUCCCAGCUCCAUGGCAAGCAGCUUUGUGGAUGGGAAUGUCAUUCUGGUGCAGAUUUCUGGAGCCAGGGUGGGCAAUAAGUACCUUAUCCCACAGGUACUGAGGUUCUGUGUUCUUACUGUGGAUUGGUGCUUCUGAUCUUGUGGGCUUGUAGGCUAGUCAUCAUUGUUUCAACCCCUACUGGAUGAAGUGACUCUCACGAGAUAUAAAAGAAUUGCACCUAUUUUUUUGUGUCUGUUCAAAAAUAACUACAUAUAUGGAAGAAUUCAGAAAGCCACCUCACAUGCCCAAGGAAAGAUACAAGCACUGAAAAGACUUUCUUCAGCUUUCACUUUAGGCUGAUCUCUGGCACAUAGUUAUCCCAUAAUAAUAAAAACAAAGGCAAAAAUGCAGCAAAUCCAGGGAAAGGUGGGGGGAAAUAUUAUUUCCAGAGUUAUCACAUGGUAAGAUUCAAAUGUCCAGUUUUCUACAACAACAAAAAAAAACCUGAAGGCAUGCCAAAAAACAGAAAAGUAUGGCCCAAUUAAAGGAACAAAAUGAAUGGAGACAAAAAAUACUUGAGGAAACCCAGAUGUCAGUCUCACUAGAAAAAGACAACUGUCUUAAAGAUGCUUAAAAAGCUAAAGACAUGAACAAAGGAAAAAGAUGUAUGAGCAAACUAAGGAUAGAACUAAAGAGAGAAAAUUAUUUUAAAAAAAACUAAAAAGAAAUUCUGGAUCAAAAUUUACAGUAAUGGAAACAAAAAAUAUGAAUACAACAAAGGGAUUAAAAAGACAUGCAAUCAGAGGAGAGAUUCAGCAAACUUAAAAAUAGGAAAAUAUAAAUUAUCAAUAUAAAAAAGAAUGAGGAAGAGUGAACAUAGCUUAUUGGAACUUUAACACAACAACAAUUUGGGAAUCCCUGAAGGGGAAGAGAAAGAAAGAGGCAGAGAAAAUAUUUGAAGACAUAAUGGCUGAAAAAUCUCCAGAUUUGAUAAAAGACAUGAAUUUGCAAAUCCAGCAAGAGCUCACCAUGAAUGAACUCUUAAGUAGGAGAAUUGCAAAGAGACCCACACUGAGAUACAUCAUCAAAUGUCAAAAGCCAAAGACAGAUAAAUCUUGAAAAUAGGAAGAGAGAAGCAACUCCUCUCAUACAGGGGAUCCUCAAGACUAUUAACCAGUGUCUCAUCAGACCUUGGAAGCUAGAAGGAAGUGGGUCAAUAAACGUAAAGGGUGAAGAAAAAAAAGCUGUCAAUAGAGAAGUUUAUAUUCAGCAAAAUGUUCUUGAAAAAAUAUGUAGAAAUUCACAUAUUUCCAGAUAAACAAAAGUGGAAGGAGUUAUCACUAGACCUGCUCUGCAAAAAAAAAAAAAAAAAAAAAAAGUAAAGGAAGUCUAUCAGGUUGAAAUUAAAAGAAGCUAAAAUGUACCCAAUGACAAAACUCCAUGGACAUAAUCAGUACUGGAGUUCAAAUAACAUUUAUACUGGGGGAUCCCAUUAAAUUUAAGCAUUGUGCCUCUCCUAUAAUCUUGAAGUCACUAUAUAUAAAAUAGAGAAAAAGUAGCAAUGCCUCACUUUAAAUGUAGCCUUGCCUAUAUUUCCCAAGUCAUAAUACCCAUUGCCCUAAAAUAUCCCAUAUUGGAGCAUAGAUGCUCUAACAUAAAUAAUAAAUUAAGGUAGGUCUUUUACAAACUGGCUUGAUAAAAUGGGACCCCAUGAAUACCCAGUUAAAAUAGUUAAUCUGGUCCAAUAUAGGGUACAACAGGGCCUUCAAGAGUUAAAACCUAAUUAAUAAAAAGGCAGUUACCCCAACUGCUUUUCUAUUUGAUAUCCCAAUCUUGCCAGUUAAACCUGGGGGAUAAAAAAGGUAAAGUGCCUCAUGGUGUAUUACUACAACCUUAAUGUGUUCCCACCAAUUAGGCUCCCCAUAUAAAAUAGCUAAUAUUAUUAAAAUUACUGAUUCUAUUAAAUCAAUAACCAGCUCUUAUAGAUUUGGAGAAUGUGUUCUGUUCCAGGCCUAUUUCAAUAGUCUGUCAACUACAGUUCACCUUCAUUUCUGAAGGGACAUAAUCCUCCUGUUUCAGGCUACCUGUGGGGUACUUCAGCAGCUCUGCCAUCACACACAUUCUUUGCAAGAUAGAUCAUAGCUGCAUCCAUUUUUCUCCAGGAGCACGGGGCGGAAGGCUGGAUUGAGGGUGCUUAUUUCCCUUGGACUCAGUGACCAUAGAGACUGUCCCAUGGUUCAGGCAGCUACUCAUCUGCUAUGGCACCCAUUUGAGCCUAGACUUCCACAAAGAAAAACAGAAGAUCUGUUAAGUGCACUGCACACCAUUCUGAGAGUAACACAGCUCCACGGAGAAGUGCAUGACCAAGGUCACCCAAUGGGUCAUGAAAACACCGAAUGAUCUGAAAUUACAAUCUAUCAUCUAGGCUCUUAGCCACCAGGUCACUUUGCGGGAGGAUGAGGUCUUCAGCUCUUUCCAGUGAGUACAAAACUAAACUGCUGUCUGUAUAUAUGAAUGUGAAUUCUGUAUUUGAGAAUUCACCUACUGAAAUUUUGUUAUAACUCUCAAAUCAAUACUUUGAGGUUUUUGCAUUUUUGCAGUCAUUUGCAGAUUAUGUGCAGAGUGAUGAAAAAAAUGAUUCAUCAAGCCUGCAUGUCACCAGCUGAGGUCAAAGGUGAUGCUUACUUUCUUGUUUUGGCAUUCAUAAUAUAGUGUCAUUUUCAGUCA